CAAAAAAUUGCAUCUGUCCAGUUUGGUAUAUAAGAUGAUGUGUCUACUUCCUAAACAUUGAAGAUCAGAGAUCUGUGUUCACAUUUGAAAAAAUGAAAAACAUGUAUUCCUACUGCAUAAAUGAAGUGUGAUCAUGUUAUUUAGGAUUUUAAUUGUUACACACACUGAUUAAUCAGCAACAAAAAUGACCCACUUUUAAGUCUUUAAGUGUGAUCAUGAAGCAGGGUUGGUACUUACACUUACAGUUACAGUUCAGUUGUCCUUACUCUCUGUUCUCCCAAUGCCCCUUCUCUAAAGCCUAUGCGCAUCACCGUCUCCAAAACACAAACUCCCGGCCGCGGUCAAAAGAGGAAACAUGAAGCAGCCCCACAAUAGCAAGGAUGUCAAAAGAAGCGCAAGUCGAAGAAGGUGGUUCCUGAAAAGCAGGAGGAGGAUCAUCCCAAGGAGCUGGGUCCAAUUCCCGACCUUGACCAGUUGUUAUGCGACAUGGCCGGGGAUAACUUCUCCGAUGGAUUGCCGGAGCACUGAGGAGGACCAUCGUUUGAUGAUGAAUGUUUUUGUUUAUUGGUGACUUUGUUAGUGCACUCUUUUACGCAGAUUCUUUGGGUUUCUUGUUUCGGAAACCAGUUUCAUAAUCAAUAUAUCUAGUUGAUUGAGAAUUGUCAAAUUGUUGUACUAUCUCUUCAAAGGAAUGAAAUGAAAUGAACGUUUUAUUGUCUCAA